UACGUAGGUGGCAAGCGUUGUCCGGAUUUACUGGGCGUAAAGAGCGCGCAGGCGGUCAGAUAAGUCGAAUGUGAAAGCCCCCGGCUCAACUGGGGAGGGUCAUUCGAUACUGUUCGACUCGAAGGCAGGAGAGGGAAGCGGAAUUCCCGGUGUAGUGGUGAAAUGCGUAGAUAUCGGGAGGAACACCAGUGGCGAAGGCGGCUUCCUGGCCUGUUCUUGACGCUGAGGCGCGAAAGCGAGGGGAGCAAACGGG
rnacentral:rRNA from 1 species